UACGUAGGGUGCGAGCGUUGUCCGGAAUUAUUGGGCGUAAAGGGCUCGUAGGCGGUCUGUUGCGUCAGGAGUGAAAACUCGGGGCUUAACCCCGAGCCUGCUUCUGAUACGGGCAGACUAGAGGUAUGCAGGGGAGAACGGAAUUCCUGGUGUAGCGGUGAAAUGCGCAGAUAUCAGGAGGAACACCGGUGGCGAAGGCGGUUCUCUGGGCAUUACCUGACGCUGAGGUGCGAAAGCGUGGGGAGCAAACAGG
rnacentral:rRNA from 1 species